AUUGAACGCUGGCGGCAGGCUUAACACAUGCAAGUCGAGCGGGGUGAUGGUGCUUGCACUAUCACUUAGCGGCGGACGGGUGAGUAAUGCUUAGGAAUCUGCCUAUUAGUGGGGGACAACAUCUCGAAAGGGAUGCUAAUACCGCAUACGUCCUACGGGAGAAAGAAGGGGAUCACUUGUGACCUUGCGCUAAUAGAUGAGCAUAAGUCGGAUUAGCUAGUUGGUGGGGUAAAGGCCUACCAAGGCGACGAUCUGUAGCGGGUCUGAGAGGAUGAUCCGCCACACUGGGACUGAGACACGGCCCAGACUCCUACGGGAGGCAGCAGUGGGGAAUAUUGGACAAUGGGGGGAACCCUGAUCCAGCCAUGCCGCGUGUGUGAAGAAGGCCUUAUGGUUGUAAAGCACUUUAAGCGAGGAGGAGGCUCUUUUGGUUAAUACCCAAGAUGAGUGGACGUUACUCGCAGAAUAAGCACCGGCUAACUCUGUGCCAGCCGCCGCUGUAA
rnacentral:rRNA from 1 species